CAAUAGCGUAUAUUAAAGUUGUUGCAGUUAAAAAGCUCGUAGUUGAAGAUACGAACGCUUACACUAGGACAAAGUUUCCGGUGUCUGCGUUCACUUUUCGCAAAGACAGCCUGGCCCAUUAGUUUGGGUCUUGUUUGAGCUGCGUCAUUUACUGUGAACAAAUUAGGGUGUUUAAAGCAGGCCUACGUUUGAAUACACUAGCAUGGAAUAAUAAGAUAUGAUCUUGGUCGUAUUUUGUUGGUGACUACCAAGAUAAUGAUUGAUAGAAACUGUUGUGGGUAUUCGUAUGAGCAUGUCAGAGGUGAAAUUCUUGGAUUUUGAUCAGACGAACUACUGCGAAAGUAUUUACCAAGGAUGUUUUCAUUAA
rnacentral:rRNA from 1 species